rnacentral:sRNA from 1 species
GCAGGGUGUGGUGGCUCAUACCUGUAAUCCCAGAGACUUGGAGGCUGAGGCAGGAGAAUCUCAAGUUUGAAGCUAGCCUCUGCAACUUGGUGAGUCCCUGCCUCAA